GGAGUAUGGGCCGUUCUCAGUCCCAUUGUGGCCGUUCAACCUCUCAGUCCGGCUACGCAUCAUCGCCUUGGUGGUCCCUUACACCCCCAACUAGCUAAUGCGCCGCAGGCCCCUCUUCUAGUGAUAAAUCUUUAAACAUUCAAAGAUGUCUUCAAAUGUCCUAUCCAGUAUUAUCCAUCGUUUCCAAUGGUUAUCCUCGGCUAAAAGACAGGUUACCUACGUGUUACUCACCCGUUCGCCAUGGUUAGCAAGCUAACCAUUCGACUUGCAUGUAUUAGGCACGCCGCCAGCGUUAAUC
rnacentral:rRNA from 1 species